rnacentral:misc_RNA from 1 species
UGGUUCUGGCAUCGAUGAAGAACGCAGCGAAAUGCGAUAAGUAAUGUGAAUUGCAGAAUUCAGUGAAUCAUCGAAUCUUUGAACGCACAUUGCGCCCAUUAGUAUUCUAGUGGGCAUGCCUGUUCGAGCGUCAUUACGACCAUUAAGCCUAGCUGCUUAGCGUUGGGAGCCUGCGCGGCGCGAGCCCGCACCUCCUCAAAACCAGUGGCGGAGUCGGCGUGCACUCUAGGCGUAGUAACACCAACUCGCUUCAGUGGUCACGCGGGCGCCCUGCCGUAAAACACCCCAAACUUUUAAAGGUUUGACCUCGGAUCAGGUAGGAAUACCCGCUGA